CCUACGGGUCGCACCAGUAGGGAAUCUUCCGCAAUGGGCGAAAGCCUGACGGAGCAACGCCGCGUGAGUGAUGAAGGUCUUCGGAUCGUAAAACUCUGUUAUUAGGGAAGAACAAAUGUGUAAGUAACUAUGCACGUCUUGACGGUACCUAAUCAGAAAGCCACGGCUAACUACGUGCCAGCAGCCGCGGUAAUACGUAGGUGGCAAGCGUUAUCCGGAAUUAUUGGGCGUAAAGCGCGCGUAGGCGGUUUUUUAAGUCUGAUGUGAAAGCCCACGGCUCAACCGUGGAGGGUCAUUGGAGACUGGAAAACUUGAGUGCAGAAGAGGAAAGUGGAGUUCCAUGUGUAGCGGUGAAAUGCGCAGAGAUAUGGAGGAACACCAGUGGCGAAGGCGACUUUCUGGUCUGUAACUGACGCUGAUGUGCGAAAGCGUGGGGAUCAAACAGGAUUAGAUACCCUUGUAGUC
rnacentral:rRNA from 1 species